CGAGCGUCAUUAAACACCAUCAAGCUUUGCUUGAAAUUGGGCUAUGCCUGUAAAAUAGGCUGGCUUUAAAAUCAGUGGCAGUGUCAUCCGACUCUAAGCGUAGUAAUUAUUCUCGCUAUUGUGUCGGGGUGAUCUCUCGCCAAUAACCCCUUAUUUCAAUGUUUGACCUCGGAUCGUGUAGGAAUACCCGCUGAACUUAA
rnacentral:misc_RNA from 1 species